ensembl:lncRNA
CAGGCAGUGCCAAAGAACCGAGCCACUCCUAAGCGCUGCCUGUGUGCCCCUCCUUGGGCCUCUACAAGAGCAAGUGGGCGAGCUCGCCUUCCUCAUGAGGGGUCGUGGGGGGAGGAAGGACCCACAGCCCAGACAGCGCUGCUGUUUGGAGAGCUUCCCCAGCCAGGCUCAGUGUGCCCGGGGGCUCCUCUCUGAGCUCCCAGCCCUGCGGGCGGGCGGGCGGGCAUCAGCCACAUCUUACACAGGACGGGACGUGACUGAGGCCUGGGAAGGUCCGGGAGCUGCCGCAGCACCCUCCCCGCAGCUCCUUGCCCCCUGGGGUGGACGGGAGGCUCUGUGGGUCCGGGGCCCCUGCGGGCCCAGCAGCGCCAUGAAGGUGGGCGCCCCGGGCCCCUAUCCAGGGAAGCGGCAGCCUCCAGCCUCCCCUGCGAGCCUCCCACCCCCAUUCUAAACCCCAACCCUGAUCCCCCCAAGCCAAAUGGACGGCAAGUUCCGUCUUGUGACUUUUACAUGAAAACGAGAACACGGUUUGUCAACAGGCUGGAAUUCUUUUCAUCCCGGCACCUUCUCCUUAAUUGCGCUGGGGGAGUUUAUUCCUUUGUGCAUCUGGGGGGGAUCACUUUAACCUCCUCCAGUCGAAGGAGAAAUAAGACUUUGGUUUUUGCCAAAACUUGUUGUAUGUGCCGCUGGGGACGACGCAUCCGGAAAUCCACGAUGAAGAAACGUUUGGGAAAAAAACCCUUAAAAAUCAAAGCUCUGGAGGCCAGGAGCCUGCGCGAGUCCUGAAGCCUGAGCCUCACGUCGGGAAAAGACCCAAUGAGAGCCGUCGCCAGCGUCUCCACGUGGGGCCGUACCACAGCCUCAAACAUGCAUCCGGGACAGGAGGAGGGGCGCACCCAAACUGCCAGACAGAACUGCCGCAGCUUCUGGGAAUCAGCACUUUCAAAAACAAAAAUUGCGUGGUUAUUUUACGAGUAGCCCCGUCAUCUCUAGGACGUUACAGGUGGUUGGGGAAGCCCUGCGUCAGGAGGUGUGCUGGAGUCAUUGACGCCUUCACCCAGAGCUCGCUGAGCCGCUGCUGUGGGCCAGGCAGGGGCAGCGCGGGCCCUGGCGUAGAGCAGCGGGCUGCACACAGCCCUGGACACGGCGACCUCCGGCAGUCGAGUUGGCACCCUGAGUCGGCCUGCGACGGGGCGUGUGAGCCGGAAAGGUUCCUCAUCUAUGAAAGGAAUUACAGUGAGGGAGAAACGGGAAGCUGUGGUCCCUGGCACCUGGAAGCCCUGCAUAAAGGCCUCUUGAACUCUGAGUGGACAGCAAGCUGGUCCAGCAGGAGGCGAAGUCAACAACAACAGCCACGGCGAAUGCUGCUCAGAGCUUGCUCCACGUCGCGCUCCUUGAAGUACAGGCUUUGGCCAGGCCUGAGACACUGAGCGAGGUGAGGAUGCCCAGGGAUGUCCCUCCCUUUAAGAUGAAAUGCUCUGAUAUCUGGAAUUGGCUGCGAAAUCGCCCCUGGGGUGGAUGAGUGAGGAGGCAGGUGGAUGACAUGAGGGUGGCUGAUGAUCAUGGAAGCGGUGUGAUAUGUUCAUGAGGCUUCAUAAUAUUCUCCUUCCUAUUUUUAGAUAUAUUUCAAAUUUCCCAUAAUACAGAGUUUUCAAUAACUGUUUCUGAUGAAGAUACAG